rnacentral:misc_RNA from 1 species
AAGUCGUAACAAGGUUUCCGUAGGUGAACCUGCGGAAGGAUCAUUAACACGUAUCCAACGUUAAAACAACCCCCUUGCUCCUGUAGCCCGUCUGGUAAAUCAUUGUUGACCAGCUUUUGAGUCAGGGACCUCUGCCGAUUGUGAUAUUUUAUAGCUACGGUUGAGCGAUUGCAUCUAGUGACCUGGCAUCCCCAAGUAAUCAGUGUCUGAAAGUGUCAUUGAUUAUGUAAGGAUGGCGCAGUCACGAUCGCUGUAGGCCCACACGGCCGGCGACCGGGUCACCGGGCUCUGCCCCUUUACGACAACACAGUACGAAUUGGCCGCGCGUGAAAUUCGCACGGCACCAAAAACCGAACAACUGUUAACAAUGGAUAUCUUGGUUCUC